GAUUCAAGUCGUAUACUACAAAUCGCACGAGACAAUCGUGUCGUGUAAAUCAGCCUUUAGAGGUCUUGGGGGAAAACCUGAGUACUAAAAAUCUCAAGCCACAUUUGUAAAAGGGAACAGACUGGUACAGAUUGGUACAAAAUCAAAGAUAACGAUCUUUCACAUGUAAGAAAACUGCGCAAAGGCUCUUCGAUGCAUGUGAGCGUUGAACAGUAUGGUUAUAUUAGAAGUAGAAUUUACAGAUGUAACUGCAAAAGAGGAGUAGAAAAAAGGUACCACAUAACUCCUUUGUUGCCCUCUCUCCUCUCAACUCAUUGAUGUACUCCAUGAGUACUGCUGGUAGCAGCUCCACAUUCUUCAAUCUAAAGUGAUCAGCACCAAAUCUUUCACACAGCUGUUCGCGGUCCAUCCCCAGUUCUUUUGCGACCACAUCUUGUACCUUCUGAGUACCAAAGACUUCUUCUGCAUGCUGUAAUUUUGAUGACAGGAGCUCCCUCCAGAGUCUGUGGGAUUCUAGCUGUUUCCCAGUUUUCAUUGCUAUGAAACAAGCAGACAUGAAGAAGCCCCUGACACUUCAAUCUCCAAUCUAGUGGCUGUUCUUCUGGUGGGUCUUUCAUUAGAUUGGUGUCAUUUAAGAGAAGUCGACGGAAGUUUGUGAUCUACAUAUUAUGGUUCAACAUAGAACAUAGAGUUACCUUGUGCAUAUCAUUAAACUACUAGAUGAGCAUAACCAUUUUAUAUGAAAGAUUUUAAUACAGAGGCAUCCAAUUAUAAUAUUCAGGAAGAAACGGAUCCAUUAAGAUUUAAAAGAGAAUCAGUGAAUGUAAAUUUAAAGCCUUUUUUGCUGCUAUUGGCUAUUCUUAAAAUUCCAGUACAGGUGGGAAUAGCUUGAUCAUUAUUAGGAAAGAAAACACUAUGAAUAGCAUUGAAUCAACUUAAAGUAAAGUUAUCAUUAAGUAAAGUUGUCCUUUUUGUUCAUCUCAAUCGAGUUAAACAUAGAUUUGAUAUUAAGCCCACUUGCCCUGGAAUUUUGAGAAGUCAUGACAAAAUGACACUAAAGAAAACUGUGUUAGUCUAGCAUGGCUUUGUUAAAUAUCA